UACGGGGGGGGCAAGCGUUGUUCGGAAUUACUGGGCGUAAAGGGCUCGUAGGUGGCCAACUAAGUCAGACGUGAAAUCCCUCGGCUUAACCGGGGAACUGCGUCUGAUACUGGAUGGCUUGAGGUUGGGAGAGGGAUGCGGAAUUCCAGGUGUAGCGGUGAAAUGCGUAGAGAUCGGAAGGAACACCAGUGGCGAAGGCGGCUACCUGGACAGAUACUGACACUGAGGCGCGAGAGCGUGGGGAGCAAACAGG
rnacentral:rRNA from 1 species